AACGAACGCUGGCGGCAUGCCUAACACAUGCAAGUCGAACGAGACCUUCGGGUCUAGUGGCGCACGGGUGCGUAACGCGUGGGAACCUGCCCUUAGGUUCGGAAUAACUCCCCGAAAGGGGUGCUAAUACCGGAUAAUGUCUUCGGACCAAAGGUUUAUCGCCUUUGGAUGGGCCCGCGUUGGAUUAGCUAGUUGGUAGGGUAAAAGCCUACCAAGGCGACGAUCCAUAGCUGGUCUGAGAGGAUGAUCAGCCACACUGGGACUGAGACACGGCCCAGACUCCUACGGGAGGCAGCAGUGGGGAAUAUUGGACAAUGGGCGAAAGCCUGAGCCAGCAAUGACGCGUGAGUGAUGAAGGCGUUAGGGUUGUAAAGCUCUUUUACCCGGGACGAUAAUGACAGUACCGGGAGAAUAAGCUCCGGCUAACUCCGUG
rnacentral:rRNA from 1 species